AUUGCUCUGCGUGUCACUGGCAAUGAUCCAUGUUGAGCUCUAAGAAACGCACUGGUGCCUCGCAGGGGGUUUUUGUGCGGCUCCUCAAUGACAUUCACUCACUGUGGUGGAUUUUUGGUGGCGGCACCAGGCUGGAUGUUGGCAGUAAUGCUGCCCCCCUGCUCACAGUUCUAACCCCCUCUAGUCAAGAGGUGUCCAGCAAGAACACGGCCACACUGACCUGUCUGGCCAACAAGGGCUUCCCCUCUGACUGGAAACUUGAGUGGAUGGUGGAUGGUAGCAAAGAGGCUGCGGACACAAGCCGUGGGGCCCUGAACAAAGAUGGCUUGUACAGCUGGAGCAGCACACUGACUCUCCCUGCGAACAAGUGGAUGAAGGUGGAAUCUGUGAUCUGCAAGGCUACUCAGGGCUCCCAGAGUCCCGUCACUCAGACAGCGAAGAGAACCGACUGUUCUGGGUAAAUGGCUGCCUGAUUACUGCGUUUUCACUCCAUGCUAUACUGCACUCAUCUCUUUUUUUUUUUUUUAACUAACACAGAGGUUAAUAAUCUGCUUUGCUAGACAACAUAUGAGAGUCCCUUUUGCCUUCACAUUCGCGUUAUUAUCG